UUGGACCCGCGCGGCGCUGUGCUCCUCCGUCAGGCCAGGGCGGGGCUCCCGGGCCUCGUUCUGCUCCAGGCCCCUUUCCCAGAGCCACGCAGGGCUCCGGGCUCCUGCUCUGCCGCCCGAGGCUGAUGCAACCGUGGAUGUGAGGUACACCAUCCAGAUCAGAUUGAAUCUGACUGCUACUGGUGGAGAGUGCUUCCGUAUACAUAACACAAAUGCACCAAAUUGAGAAUCAAAUGCUGAGAAAACAGGAUCUAGUCCACAAAUGGGUGCCUGAAUAAGUCUACUAAGCUGUGAAGUGGGCUGCAGUCCACCAAAGCUUAUGCCACAAUAAAUUCAAGUCUUUAAAGUGCCACGAGACUUCAUUUCUUUUGCUGCUGCAGACUUAACGCUGCUGCCCCAUGAAGAUGCCUUUUGUGUUUGUGCUGUAACAGACUUAACAGGGCUACCCAUCUGGAAAAUGGCUUUCCACUUAUCUGCUCCUACUGACAUGUAUCAGUGGUAAUUCCUUGUAACCUCACAGAGGUGGCAUCUGCCCAAAUGGGCUCUGGCUUAGCAAAAGCUUACACCAGCAAUAUUACACUGUGAGCUGUCACAGACUGCUGCCAUUUUCCCUACAGCAGACUAACAAGACUAUCCUAUUCCCCUCUGGCAUGGGCCACAUUGGAGGAAAAAACCCAGUAUUGGUUUCAUUUAACACAAUUCAUUUUGUUGUUGCAGGGGGGAAACCUUCAGCUUUCUAUGUGCCUUAUUCUGAAAUUAUGUUCUUGCCUGAUAGGAAUAGUUUAUUCAAACUCCUACCUUUUCCUUCCAUUUCCGAUCUGUUGUGUUUUUUUGGCUUUUUAGCUUGUCAGCCUUAGGACGCAGCCUCUCUCUAAAUAAAGAAAUGUGAGCUGCUCUGGGAAUCAUAAUAUCUGUACGAAAAGUGAGAUGGCAGAUAAAUUAAUAAAUAAAAAUAAACCCCAACAUCUAAUAGUCAUGCUGUCCUGGGCUUGAUCCCUUCCCCCUUUCUUUUUUGUUGUGUACACACACUACAUUUAAAACACAUUCAAAUAACAUUCCCUCAAAGAAUUCUGGGUACUGUAGUUUGUUAAUGUUGCCGGGAAUUGUAAGAGUAAGUCCCCAUAAUUCUUUGAGGAAAAGAAUAUGUUUCACAUGUGCUUUAAAAUGUAAAGUGUGUAUAUAGCCUUAUUCUCGCUCCUUUGUUUGCCUUUGAAAUAAGCCUUUUAAAAAUAAUUAGAUUUAAACCUGAAGAUAGCAGUCUCCACACUUAGUUCCCAAGGAAUUAUAUAUUGGGAUGGAAAGUAUGGAGUGAAA